rnacentral:rRNA from 1 species
CGGACGGGUGAGUAACACGUGGAUAACCUACCUAUAAGACUGGGAUAACUUCGGGAAACCGGAGCUAAUACCGGAUAAUAUUUUGAACCGCAUGGUUCAAAAGUGAAAGACGGUCUUGCUGUCACUUAUAGGUGGAUCCGCGCUGCAUUAGCUAGUUGGUAAGGUAACGGCUUACCAAGGCAACGAUGCAUAGCCGACCUGAGAGGGUGAUCGGCCACACUGGAACUGAGACACGGUCCAGACUCCUACGGGAGGCAGCAGGC